UGGCAGCGCAGCUACCGUGCAGUCGAGGGGUAACAGAAGAGCUUGCUCUUGCUGACGACCGGCGCACGGGUGCGUAACGCGUAUACAAUCUACCUUAUACAGGAGGAUAGCCCUAAGAAAUUGGGAUUAAUACUCCAUAGUAAUAUUUUAUUGCAUGAUAGAAUGUUUAAAACUACGGUGGUAUAAGAUGAGUAUGCGUCCUAUUAGCUAGAUGGUAAGGUAACGGCUUACCAUGGCGACGAUAGGUAGGGGGCCUGAGAGGGUUAUCCCCCACACUGGUACUGAGACACGGACCAGACUCCUACGGGAGGCAGCAGUGAGGAAUAUUGGUCAAUGGAGGCAACUCUGAACCGGCCAUGCCGCGUGAAGGAAGAAUGUCCUAUGGAUUGUAAACUUCUUUUAUUUGGGAAGAAACCUAUCUACGUGUAGAUAGCUGACGGUACCAAAAGAAUAAGGACCGGCUAACUCCGUGCCAGCAGCCGCGGUAAUACGGAGGGUCCAAGCGUUAUCCGGAAUCAUUGGGUUUAAAGGGUCCGCAGGCGGUUUGUUAAGUCAGUGGUGAAAUCCUAUCGCUCAACGAUAGAACUGCCAUUGAUACUGACAGACUUGAAUUUAGUUGGAGUAGGCGGAAUGUGUAGUGUAGCGGUGAAAUGCUUAGAUAUUACACAGAACACCGAUAGCGAAGGCAGCUUACUAAACUAAUAUUGACGCUCAUGGACGAAAGCGUGGGGAGCGAACAGGAUUAGAUACCCUGGUAGUCCACGCCGUAAACUAUGAUUACUCGUUAUUGGCGAUACACAGUCAGUGACUAAGCGAAAGUGAUAAGUAAUCCACCUGGGGAGUACGGUCGCAAGA
rnacentral:rRNA from 1 species